rnacentral:rRNA from 1 species
UACGUAGGGCGCAAGCGUUAUCCGGAAUGAUUGGGCGUAAAGCGUCUGUAGGUGGCUUUUUAAGUCCGCCGUCAAAUCCCAGGGCUCAACCCUGGACAGGCGGUGGAAACUACCAAGCUGGAGUACGGUAGGGGCAGAGGGAAUUUCCGGUGGAGCGGUGAAAUGCGUAGAGAUCCGGAGGAACACCGACGGCGUAGGCAGCGCCCUAGACGAGACCUGACGCUCAGGCACGAAAGCGCGGGGAGCGAACAGG